ensembl:snRNA U6 U6 spliceosomal RNA
GUGCUUGCUUCAGCAGCACAUAUACUAAAAAUUGAAAUGAUACGGAGAAGAUUAGCAUGGCCUUUGUGCAAGGAUGACAUGCAAAUUCGUAAAGCAUUCCAUAUUUAA